CCUCCUGUCUUCACAUUUCGUGGUAGCCACGAGACACCGAUUAUGAGUUAAUUUUCACCAUUAGAAAGAAGACAUCAAAGCAGGAAGAAUCUCAAGGAAGACAGAGCAUUGAUCAUCACAAUGGGCCUUGGUAUGCUAAUCAAGCUUUCUGAGUUAUACCCCCAGUCCUUGGUGCUGUGAGGGCCUCUCGGAAGGAUGGAAGGUUUUCAGACCUUGCCGGUGCUGCAGGUGGUUCUGCUGAGCCUUGGAUGAGUCUUGAUCAUAGUGUCCCCAGAAGUACACUUCAGCUUCAGCAGGUCCACUCCUUUGAUGAAACGGGAAGCUCUGUCUGAGAAUACUGAUCUUCGUUUCCUACUAUUUACGAAUCUCUGGACUCUGAGAAAAUAAGAUUCUGUUAACGAGACACAAACAGCUGGAGUCCCUUGGGCAGCAGAGAUAAAGCUCCCGGUGCUGAUAAUGAGAUACUGUGUCUGAAUGAGCUGUGGAUUCCCGAGUCCUUGGCUGACAGACGCUGCGGCCUGGCUCCUGAUAAUUUGCCCCUCAGGGCUUCCUUCUAGGCUGAAAGGAGAAGCAAAGCAGGCUCCCACUCCCUAAUUGUGCCUAAUCAUAGAUGUUUAGAAACAGCUAACAGAGAAGACCUCACACACUAUGGUAUUACCAAGAAGUGGCAAGUGGACUCCGCAUCAGUCAAAUGGUCAAGAGCGUUGAUGUAUCUGAAAGCUGAUGACCAACCGCACUGCUUGGGCAAAAGACAGAAAGAAGGAAGCAGCAAGAGCGGCUUCUUACUACUUCAUGAGGCUUCAAGUCUGGCCAUGAAAAGUUGCGUUGUUUCUCCUUCAGUCUGCUGGCAGGUGUCUGAAACAGGAGUGGGGCUAAGACUAUGACCUAAACACCUACUAUUUGCUGACCACUAGGCUGAGGUUUUACCCUUCACCGUAGCCCAGAGAGAGGAGGCACUAUCGUCAUCUUACAGCAAAGGCAAACAGAGACCCUGGAGCUAGGACUGUUGCCCAGUCUCACACUUUUAGUAAACUGUAGGACUGAGCCUCAAACUCAGUGUGUUUAUCAUGUACAUCUUUUCAACUGACAUGAUGUCUCCCUAUUUUGGGGCUGCUGUCCCUGAUAGAGAUAACCUUGGGUUGAGGUGGGAAAGGCUUACUGGGAACGGCUGAGGAACACUUCCCUCAGGAGUGACUACGGCAGGAGCCUGAGUUGAAGGAGCUCCUCCCCCCCCCCCAGUAGCUUAGCAGGUUCUAGCAGUUUGCCUUGGGACAAAUUUUGUGAGUUUCCAAACCCUUCAGCUAUCGAGAUA